CCUGGCUCCGCCCAGACUCGGCACUGGCAUGGGUCCACAAAGGUCUGUAUGCACAAGCUCAAAAGGCCUUGUGGUUACCCUCUCCGAUCUGGGAUAACUGCACCUUUUUAUCUUUGCUCUUUUGCAUGCCCUACAAUCCAAGAAUCUAUCACAUGCUUUCAUCUUGCAACCCUCAGUGCAUUCUGGUAACUUCUGGAUAUAUUUCCAACAGCUAUGCGACAUUCUCCUGUGCCACAAGUGAGCACACGAAUCAUGUGUGGGAACGUUAGCACACCGCGCCUGUGCUGUCUCAGCGUUCCCCUUACCCUCCAGAGGUGUCUCCAGAACAAAGAGGUUGUUCUGACAUGCAACAUUGACCAGUUGUUUCCCACCCCUGGAAAUAGAACAGACAUCAUUUUCAAAGCAAACCUUAUAACCCUCCUUUACAAGAGCAGAUACAGAUAAAAGACAACACUUCAUUCCUGGCACAACGUAGACUUCCAGCUCUGCCUGUAAAAAAGAAACAAACACAUUGCCAACAGUGGUUAAUUGUCUCUGUGAGCCAUCAGCAAGAAUGACUGUUUUCCCAGUUGAAACAGCCCUGCAGUUCCACAUUUCGCCACUAGAUGGCGAUGGCAUCAGGUGAUGGCUGGCUCCUGAGUCGAUGAC